UACGUAGGGUCCGAGCGUUAAUCGGAAUUACUGGGCGUAAAGCGUGCGCAGGCGGUUUUGUAAGCCAGAUGUGAAAGCCCCGGGCUCAACCUGGGAACUGCAUUUGGGACUGCAAGGCUGGAGUACGGCAGAGGGAGGUGGAAUUCCACGUGUAGCAGUGAAAUGCGUAGAUAUCUGGAGGAACACCGGUGGCGAAGGCGGCAUCCUGGACCGGCAUUGACGCUGAGGCGCGAAAGCCAGGGGAGCAAACGGG
rnacentral:rRNA from 1 species